GGGGAGCUAGCCGACCUGAAAAAUGGAGCUCUCUCAUUUUUUUCCUUGAUGAUACACCAGGCAGCAGCCUGUCUCUUAUUAUGGAGUUGCCAGAAGAUGGCGUUCAGGCAGAGACUGACAUGCACAACCGUGGAAAGGCUGAAUAUGUUGGAAACAAUGGACAACAAUGAACUUGUAAAAAGACCAAAUGCAAGAAAUCCUGCCUGUAUCUGAUUACACUCCGAAGAUGUCACUUCCUGUGAACUAUCUAUAAAAACUCCUGAUCCUACAUACUUGAUCAGUUCUGUUUUGGACUCAAACCUGUACACAUUGUACACAAACUAAAGCCUUUUGCAGCCAGGGAAACUAUAUGGGUGGCUGCCCCAUACCUUUGUUGUGUGUCCGGCUAGAUAUUUCACAAUGGUCAUAACAUAAUUGCCAAAAAAAUCUGUAAUCUGAAAUACUUUAAAUUGCAAUUAGAGUAGUGAAGCUUAGACAUGCAA